GACGAACGCUGGCGGCGUGCUUAACACAUGCAAGUCGAACGAAGAGCGAUGGAAGCUUGCUUCUAUCAAUCCUAGUGGCGAACGGGUGAGUAACGCGUAAUCAACCUGCCCUUCAGAGGGGGACAACAGUUGGAAACGACUGCUAAUACCGCAUACGAUCUGACCUCGGCAUCGAGGAUAGAUGAAAGGUGGCCUCUACAUGUAAGCUAUCACUGAAGGAGGGGAUUGCGUCUGAUUAGCUAGUUGGAGGGGUAACGGCCCACCAAGGCGAUGAUCAGUAGCCGGUCUGAGAGGAUGAACGGCCACAUUGGGACUGAGACACGGCCCAGACUCCUACGGGAGGCAGCAGUGGGGAAUCUUCCGCAAUGGACGAAAGUCUGACGGAGCAACGCCGCGUGAGUGAUGACGGCCUUCGGGUUGUAAAGCUCUGUUAAUCGGGACGAAAGGCCUUUUUGCGAAUAGUGAGAAGGAUUGACGGUACCGGAAUAGAAAGCCACGGCUAACUACGUG
rnacentral:rRNA from 1 species